rnacentral:rRNA from 1 species
UGACAGAACUGUGGGGACACGUAAGGAAAGCGGAAGCCGGGAAUGGAAAGCCCGGUGCAAGCGGGGUACCAGCCACUUUGGCAAAUCCGGGUGGCAAUGGGAAGCCGUGAUGCGGAGCGAAAUAAAGUAGUGAAGUCCGUGAGCCAUGCGUCAAGAAAAGCCGCUAUCGUUUAUACCGUACCCGUACCGUAAACCGACACAGGUGGAUGAGGAGAGAAUCCUAAGGCCGGCGGAAGAAGCAUUGUCAAGGAACUCGGCAAAAUGGCCCCGUAACUUAGGGAUAAGGGGUGCCUGGGAAACCAGGCCGCAGAGAAUAGGCUCAAGCAACUGUUUAGCAAAAACACAGGUCUAUGCGAAACCGAAAGGUGAGGUAUAUGGGCUGACGCCUGCCCGGUGCUGGAAGGUUAAGAGGAGAGGUUAGCGGUAACGCGAAGCUUUGAAUUUAAGCCCCAGUAAACGGCGGCCGUAACUAUAACGGUCCUAAGGUAGCGAAAUUCCUUGUCGGGUAAGUUCCGACCCGCACGAAAGGCGUAAUGAUUUGAGCGCUGCCUCGACAAUGCAUCCGGUGAAAUAGAAGUACCAGUGAAGAUGCUGGUUACCUGCGCCAGGACGGAAAGACCCCAUGGAGCUUUACUCCAGUCUGGUACUGGGACUCGGUAUUGCAUGUACAGGAUAGGUGGGAGGCUAGGAGAUGGUAACGCCAGUUGCCAUGGAGCCGCUGUUGGGAUACCACCCUUGCAGUAUUGGGUUUCUAACCAGCCGCCGUGACCCGGCGGUGGGACAAUGCCAGACGGGGAGUUUGACUGGGGCGGUCGCCUCCGAAAGGGUAUCGGAGGCGCCCAAAGGUUCCCUCAGAAUGGACGGAAACCAUUCGAAGAGUGCAAAGGCAGAAGGGAGCUUGACUGCGACACCGACGGGUGGAGCAGGUACGAAAGUAGGGCUUAGUGAUCCGGUGGUAUUAAGUGGGAAUGCCAUCGCUCAACGGAUAAAAGCUACCCUGGGAUAACAGGCUUAUCACUCCCAAGAGUUCACAUCGACGGAGUGGUUUGGCACCUCGAUGUCGGCUCAUCGCAUCCUGGGGCUGUAGUAGGUCCCAAGGGUUGGGCUGUUCGCCCAUUAAAGCGGUACGCGAGCUGGGUUCAGAACGUCGUGAGACAGUUCGGUCCCUAUCCGGCGUGGGCGUAGGAUAUCUGAGAGGAGCUGUCCUUAGUACGAGAGGACCGGGAUGGACGGGCCGCUGGUGCAUCGGUUAGACUGCCAAGUCUACGGCCGAGUAGCCAAGCCCGGAAGGGAUAAACGCUGAAGGCAUCUAAGCGUGAAGCCCCCCUUAAGAUGAGAUAUCCCAUUCGUUAAGAAGUAAACCCCCUUGAAGACGACGAGGUAGAUAGGGCAGAGGUGGAAGUGUGGCAACACAUGGAGCUGACUGUUACUAAUCGGGUGAGGGCUUGACC